GACAGAGGCCUCAAGCGUUAGGCGGAAUCACUGGGCUUAAAGCGUGUGUAGGCGGGUCGUUAAGUACCUUGUGAAAUCCCACGGCUCAACCGUGGAAGUGCACUCGAAACUGCAUAGCUAGAGUCCUGGAGAGGAAGGUGGAAUGCUUGGUGUAGAGGUGAAAUUCGUAGAUAUCAAAGCGGAACACCGGUGGCGAAGGCGGCCUUCUGGGCAGUGACU
rnacentral:rRNA from 1 species